AAUAUUGGACAAUGGGGGCAACCCUGACGCAUCCAUGCCGCGUGGGUGAAGAAGGUCUUCGGAUUGUAAAGUACUUUAAGUAGGGAGGAAGGCCUUUAGGUUAAUACCUUGAAGUUUUGACGUUACCACCUGAAUAAGCACCGGCUAACUCUGUGCCAGCAGCCGCGGUAAUACAGAGGUUGCAAGCGUUAAUCGGAAUUACUGGGCGUAAGGGGAGCGUAGGUGGUUCAGGAAGAUGGGUGUGAAACCCCCGGGCUUAACCUGGGAACUGCUUUCAUAACUGCUGAGCUAGAGGACGGUAGAGGGUAGUGGAAUUUCCUGUGUAGCGGUGAAAUGCGUAGAUAUAGGAAAGAACACCAGCGGCGAAGGCGACUACCUGGACUGAUACUGACACUGAGGUGCGAAAGCGUGGGGAGCAAAC
rnacentral:rRNA from 1 species